rnacentral:tRNA from 1 species
UAGAUUUUAAUUUAAUUGGUAAAAUAUAAGAUUUAUAUUCUUGUUUGUGAAUUCAAAUUUCAUAAAUCUAA